UUGAAAAAACCCCCAACGGGAACUACACAAAAAAAUACCUCAGCCCUCUUUCUUUCAAUCCCUUUCAACGGGAACUCCACAAAAAAUACCUUUCAUUUUUCUACUUUGUUUUUUUCUGUGAUUUUGCUAAAAUUUCACUUCAACAUUAUCAUCUUGCCAUAAUAUCAGAUAAAAUGGGCCAACAUAAGAGGAAGAGAACCAGUUCACCUUGUCCUGAUGCUAGUGAAAAAUCUAGGAGCUUAGCUACUGCUAGAAAACAAGAGGCUGCAUGUAAUAAAAGAGCUACCACAUCAGUACAAAAGCUGAUUGAUGAAGCAGCCGAGCAAGAGAUGCUUUUGCUUGUGCACCUUUGGAGAUAAUGAUACCUUUAAACAAUGAGUAGUUGAUUGGUGAAAAAGAAACACUUGAGAAUAGUGGUGAAAAGUCAAGUGAAGAAAAAAGUGGCGAGAGUGCAACUGAGCAAUCAGGUGAAGAGGAAACAAGUGGUGAGAAUGCAACUGAGCAAUCAGGUGAAGAGCAAAAAAGUGGUGAAAGUGCAACUGAGCAAUCAGGUGAAGAGGAAAAAAGUGGUGAGAGUGCAACUGAGCAUUCGGGUGAAGAGGAAAAAGAAUAAAAGGAAAGGACUACGGUUGGUGAAGAGGAUGCUCAAUCAGUAGCCGUUGCUAGAUCAAGUAAUGAUACUAGUGGUGGUAAUUCAAAGGGUGCUGGAUCAUCAGGUAAUAAUAAUGAUCCCGAUGCUCUUUCGGUUCCAGAAUGCGUGAAAACCAUUUCCAUUGAAAAAUAUGGAUUUAAGACCCACUUGAAUAAGUUUUCGCCUUAUGAUUCAAGGAUCAAUGUGAGAGUCGGCUUUGGAACUCAAUUUGUUGAGUUUAGAAAGGUUUUGAUCGAUCAACGUAUUGAGAAUGGUUUCAAAAAAAUUUGCUUUGGUCAGUUUUUAAACUUGAGGAAAGAUGUAGCAAUACAUCUCCCAAUGAAGUUGGUGCACGACCUUCUUCUUCGCCGAAUUUUUUGUGAAAAGAAAAAGGAAAUUUGAUGUGAUUACAAUGGCUUGCCUAUUUGUUUUGACAUCAAUGAAUUCGCUAUCAUGACUGGACUUCGAUGUCAUUCUCUCCCCCCUCUUAGUCAGCAGUUAUCAAAGGUUGAAGAAAAGGGUACAAGUUUGGUAGAUAUAGUGGGGAAGUCUGUUGAUGGUGAUGGUCUCAUUGAGAAGCUAAAGGAUUCAAACUUGACCAAAAAACAAAAGAUGGUUGUGAGCGUGGUUUGGUUCUUGCAUAGCAUAUUAUGUGCAAAAGAUGCAAAAAAAAAAAAAGGUAGACACCAAUUGGUUAAAAAUGGCAUCGAACCAAAAUGUAUUCAAUUCUUAUCCAUGGGGUCGAAUAAGCUUCAAUCUUACUAUUGAAUAUCUUUUAAAGAAUUGAAUCCAACCAAAAACCAAUAUAACCUUUAUAGCUUUCCAUAGGCGUUCGCGGCUUGGGCAUUUUGAAGCUAUUCUGGCAGUUCAACGGCUAGCUAAGGAUCCUUCACUUGAGAGGUCACUGCCAAGAAUGAUUAAAUGGUUGUCCGCAAAACCAGCGAGAAAGACUAACUCUAACUCGGCAAAUGUUGAUCCUCUUGUUUAGACAAGAAAAGAGGUAAGAUUCUACAUGUAAAUAAUUUCAAUUUUUUUUUGCAAUCUAGAGGCUGCUAAAAAACAUAGCACCCCUGCUAUUACAGUGGGGACUCCAAAUUUUAGACCUUCAUCUGCUUGUUUUGUUGUUGAUUAGUCCUCCAUUCAAGAUUGCAUUCAAGAUUGUUGAACCCCUCCCCCCUCUCUAACCCUUGUAUAUGAUUUGUAAUGAGGUUUCUAAGUUCUUAAAAUGAAGUGAGAUGGUAUGAUUUCUUACAAAUAAGCUGUUGGUGGCAGACUACUAAUAUUUUAGGCAUGGACAACUUUAAGAAUUUUGGAAUUUGUGGCAGGUAUUGGUUGAAUGAGCAAUGUUGACCUCUCUCCAGUAAAUGGAAGGAGUUACAUUAAUUAGUCUCAUUAUGCAGCAUCUUUGUAUGGUUGAUAGCUAGUAACUGUACCAAGUGUCAACCUUCCUUUUUAUUAUCACCACGCGGUUCCCACUUUCAUCAUGUUUCUUUUGCAAUUCUUAGAUUGAUUGUUGCAUGUAUCUUUAAUGAUUGGUAGUAGUGCACAUGUUAAUCGUGCUGACAAUUGGGAAAACAUCAAAGGCUUCCAGUGAUGAGCUUUGAGUUGUAGAAAUACAUAAAUGGUUUUUGAUUAUAUAUUGGCCAAUGGAUUUUAAAGUCAGUUUGGAUGAACUUUUAUUAUCUUGAGAUAGGACUAUUUUGCUGCAUCUUUUCCUGGUCCUUGAUCUGUUUUAAUUACCUUUUAGAGUGCUAGGAAUUCAGCUUCCAGGUGUAUCCUGAGCGCUCAUUCCCGGACACCACUUGGUUAUGCUGAGUACUCAAAAUGCUAGAAUUUUAAUUGAAUGACCAUUUACUGCCUUAACAUGGAAGUUAGAUUGAAGUCUCUUGGAUAAUAUGUUAAAACAUUCUUUUUCCGACAAAACCUGCCACUAAGCUUUGACAAGUCGCUAAUGGUACUGAUCAAAUUGCAAUCUUGUUGAUAAUAUAUCAGAUGCAUAAUGGUGGCUAAUCAAAUUGCUACUCUCUUAAGUGAAGAAAUUAAAGGGGUUGAACAAUAAGUUGAAAAAUUGGGACAGAUCAAUGCUUAAAACCUCAAACUCUAUGUAACAUUAAUUGUCUUUAUCCCAAAUAACACGUAUUUGAGAACAAUAAAUAAGCAUAAUUUGAAAAUGACUUGUUGAGAAUAGAAGCUAUAUGCAUGGGAUGAUCAGUGUAACUUUCUAAUAGUAGUUUGAAGUUAUUAUUAUUAUUAUUAUUAUUAUUAUUAUUAUUAUUAUUACAUGUCUGUAGGUUCGUUUUGAGCCUAUUCUAUUACUAGCAAAUGAAUGAUAAUAGAACCUGGUACUCUCAUCAGAUUGUAAUAAGUUCCAGCAUAUCUGUGAGGUUUUAAUUGUAAUCAUCAGAUUGUAAUAAAUUGUAAUCAUCAAAACAUAUUGGAGAUUUUAAUUUUUUAUUUUUCCCUUUCUUGAUGAGGUUUUUUGUGUUUGCUAAAUAUUCAAACUCAUUUUCUUAAAUGCAAAUGCAAAAUCAGAUUGUGCACCUUUUUCAUUUUCCAACAAAAAUAGAGAAAGCGAAGGAUUAUAUUCAAGAUAUUACGCCCUUUGAAGAUGGUCCGGAUCCAAACAUUGAUGUUUUAAAAGCUGAGUUGACACAUGUAACAACCAUAAAAUUAGAUAUAAUUGGUGGUGAUGAGAGUCUUGAGAGAGUUGGUGGCGAGGAGAGUGUUGUGAGAGAUUGUGGUGUUGAGCAGAGAGUUACUACCCAAACCAUUAGUCCACAUGUGGACUUUAAUAUUUGUAGAUCUUUUGGCGUUGCAGGAGGAGGAUACUCGUAUGUAGCUGAUCUUGGUAGGGAAGUAGAUACUCCUGGAGCGACAAAAACAACAGGUGUGAGUAUCUCCAAGGUCCCUUGUUGUUGUGAAUGCAAAAAUUGUUGUGAUAAGCAUAAUGCCCUUUUGGAGGCAAUAAAUUCAUUGUCAGUGAAGUUAGAAAAGCAGCAGCCAAAGAGGAAUAAAUUUCCGAGCCACGUAAUGCAAUCUCCUUGUACUCCCGAAUUAAGGAGAAGGUUGGCCAUAAAUACCAAAGCCAAGAAUGCUAGGACAAAGAACAAAUUAAAGGUGAAUUGUACAAACCUCUUGCGACGGGGAAGAUAGAGGCCUUUAAAGACUUCCUCGGUAAGAA